rnacentral:rRNA from 1 species
AAUGGGGGCAACCCUGAUCCAGCCAUGCCGCGUGGGUGAAGAAGGCCUUAGGGUUGUAAAACCCUUUCAGCGGGGAAGAUGAUGACGGUACCCGCAGAAGAAGCCCCGGCUAACUCCGUGCCAGCAGCCGCGGUAAUACGGAGGGGGCUAGCGUUGUUCGGAAUUACUGGGCGUAAAGGGCGUGUAGGCGGCUUGUCUAGUCAGGCGUGAAAGCCCCGGGCUUAACCUGGGAACUGCGUUUGAUACUGGCAGGCUAGAGGUUGGAAGAGGAGAGUGGAAUUCCCAGUGUAGAGGUGAAAUUCGUAGAUAUUGGGAAGAACACCAGUGGCGAAGGCGGCUCUCUGGUCCAUACCUGACGCUGAGGCGCGAAAGCGUGGGGAGCAAACAGGAUU